GUUAGUACUUGGAUGGGGAACCGCGUGGGAAUAC
ensembl:rRNA 5S_rRNA 5S ribosomal RNA